CCUACGGGUGGCAGCAGUCGAGAAUUUUUGGCAAUGGGCGAAAGCCUGACCAAGCGAUGCCGCGUGCGGGAUGAAGGCCUUCGGGUUGUAAACCGCUGUCAGUGGGGAGGAAAGCUUUGUGAAGAGCAAGGCUUGACCUAUCCGCAGAGGAAGUGUGGGCUAAGUUCGUGCCAGCAGCCGCGGUAAGACGAACCACACAAAGGAAAUACUGAAUUACUGGGGUUAAAGGGUGGCGCAGUUGGUUGGGUGUGAAAUACCUCGGCUCAACCGAGGAACUGCGCCCAAAACUACUGUGCUUGAGGAAGAUAGAGGUAAGCGGAACUUACGGUGGAGCGGUGAAAUGCGUUGAUAUCGUAAGGAACACCUGUGGCGAAAGCGGCUUACUGGGUCUUUUCUGACGCUGAUGCACGAAAGCUAGGGGAGCAAACGGGAUUAGAUACCCCAGUAGUC
rnacentral:rRNA from 1 species